rnacentral:sRNA from 1 species
CUUCCCAACAUGGCGCAGUCUAUUAACAUCACGGAGCUGAAUCUGCCGCAGCUAGAAAUGCUCAAGAACCAGCUGGACCAGGUGGGGACGGGCCCCAGAGGCACCUUUUUCCCGCUCUACAUCCCCCCUGCCCACACGUACUUCUCGCGCCCGGUUCCAAGUUGGGAGCCUACCUUUCCCAGGCGAAACCUCUAUCCGGUCCCAGGACCCGCCCCCUCCCCGGCCGCGCUCCCUUCUCCCCUUAGCCCUCUCAUUGACCCGCUAUCCCCGUCCUCUGUAGGAAGUGGAGUUCUUGUCCACGUCCAUUGCCCAGCUCAAAGUGGUACAGACCAAGUAUGUGGAAGCCAAGGACUGUCUGAACGUGCUGAACAAGAGCAACGAGGGUAUGGGGUAGGCGGGUGAGGGUAACCUAAAGUGGCGAGCCAGUUUCUCUCGUCCCACCUCCUAACCCAGUUUUUCUUACCUGAAACGAGAAAAUCCAUUACAUUUCGCAUACUGCUUCAUGAACCCUUUGCAUGUUGCCUACCUAGAAUUGAAAUGUACAGGACAUUCCUCUGCUCCUAUUGCCCCUGUUUCCGUUCUUUUCACACUGUCUGUGGGUGCUGUGCCCUGUUGGAACUCUCUUUAACGUCUUACGUUGGAGCCGCUAACCUUCCCCAGGUGUUUGUCUUCAUUGCUUUCACAGGGAAAGAAUUACUCGUCCCACUGACGAGUUCUGUAUUGUUCUAAGGCCUCCAGAUUAUUCAGUCCUUAUGCCUUGUAGCUUUUUGGAAAAGGAGGGUCUUUGGAGGCCAAGCAGGCUGGUUGGCGGAAUCAUGGCUCGUGCUGGGCUAGUUUUUCCCUUAAUUCUUGCUUCUCAGAUGUAUGUCCCUGGGAAGCUGCAUGAUGUGGAACACGUGCUCAUCGAUGUGGGAACUGGGUACUAUGUAGAGAAG